rnacentral:rRNA from 1 species
CAAUUAGUUACCGCUAAACCCAGUUUUCAUAUGUAAUUUGGCUGUGUAAUCGAACGGUGCCAGCACUAGCGGUUAGACCCCAAGCCAUAAUUGUUGGAGGACGGUUGAAGCUUAUGCUAUAAGAAUUUACUUUUUGAUUGGUGAAAUGAGAAGGAAGAUGACUGUUUCGGUACUUAGUGUUUUACAAGUCAAAGAAAGUUAGAGACGGGGAUUAGUACCCCCUUAUUCUUUAGCCUAAUUAUUUACCUGGUGAGUACCUGUGGCGAGCAGGAAAGCCAAACCUGCUGACGGCUACCCAACAACGCAGUGGAGCUUGGGCCUUAAUAUGACGAUCCGCAUGAACCUACCCCCUUAGUAAAUAUGUAUUCUAAACAAGAAGAAGGUGUAGAUUAGUUUGGUUUAAUCGGCUUAGGCUGGUUUACCAAUCUUAUGGUCUAUACACAGCUUCUGUAUGGCUGUCCAAUUGUAAGGGUUACUUUACAGUGAAAAACCUACCGUUCGUCUUACUAACUUUAAGAGUCUUAAGAAAAGUUGGUCUGACAUCUAACAUUAACAUGUAUUCUAUUUGCUUGCUUACGGGGCAAUAGUUGACUUCAAGUGGUAGGAAAAAGUCAGGUGAUAUUGAGUUCAAUAGAGGAGGGGAGAGUCUGAGCUACGUUCCAUAUGAUUUCACUUCUUUUGAAAUAUUUUAGGGUAAGGAGGAAUUGCUAGUAAACUUCAAAUUAGCACUUGAAGUUGAACAUGCUAACUGGGUAGUGUACAAACCGCCCGUCACCCGCUUAGUAAUAGGUGGUAAGUCGUAACAAGGUGAGUGUUGGAGAACCAGUACUCUGCUAUAA